UAGCAUCAGUAAGCCUUCCAAGGGCUGAAACCAAGCUAUCUGUGUGCUGUUUCUGCUGGUCUCUGGCCAAUUGGGAAUUGAUGUUCUGAGCUCCAAGAUUUGUGCAUGCAUCAGCUUGAAAGACGCAGAUUGGGAAGUUCCAAUGGAUGCAUAUGAAUAUCUUGUUUUUGUAGGGUGGGGGGGUAACAAAGAGCUCUUUGCAAAAGAGCUGUUUGUUAUGAUUUACUUGGAUCAUAAAAAUAUGCUAACCAAAACUUGAUUGCAACCAAUAAAAAUGCAUGAUUUGUAGUACCA